UCGUCUUGAACUGGUGCUUGAUAUGAGGCGGUGCCCAAUCUGAAAUGAUGCUCAACUAGAAGUAGCACCUGUUGCGAGGCCGCUCUGCUUGUGGCUUAUAUUGCCUUGGUUGGCUCGGCUUGUGGUGUUGAAGGUGAGGGAGUCCCUUUUAUAGAAUAAGGGAUCGCUCCUCAAUACAUGAAUGAUGGGCUAGAGUGAUGCUCGCGGCGAGGCGGUUGCUCAGCUGGCGGUGUUACUCUCUAAUGAUGGUGAGGGAGUCCCUUUUAUAAAAUAAGGGCUCGCUCCUCAGUACAUGAACAAUUGGUGCUCUCUAAUGAAAGUGAGGGAGUUCCCUUUUAUAGAAUAAGGGCUCGCUCCUCAAUACAUAGAUAAUGGGCUAAGUCCCCCAAGUAUUUUUCAUGAGGCCCAGUUGAGGCCCCAAUAUAUGGUACAUAAUGUAGUCCCCCAAGUCUUCGGUCAAUAGAGUCUGUUGGCUGGAGACUUCAAAUUGAAUCCAUGUAUGGGCCGAAGUGGCGGUUGUUCGGAGGCGGUAUUUGUAUACCCUGCACUGAAGCUUUGUAGGUGAAGCUUUGCAAGUGAAGCUUUGAAGCUAGAGCUCUGUAAAUGAAGCGUUCGAAGCUGGAGCUUUUGUAAAUGAAGCUUUUGAAUCUAGAGCUCUGUAAAUGAAGUCUUUGAAGCUAGAGCUCUUGUAAAUGAAGUCUUUGAAGCUAGAGCUCUGUAAAUGAAGUCUUUGAAGCUAGAGCUCUGUAAAUGAAGUCUUUGAAGCUGAUUGACAUGAGUGAUGCUCAUGAAUGUUUAUGUUGAUUGACAUGAGUGAUGCUCAUGGAUGUUAACAUGAGUGAUGCUCAUGAAUGUUAACAUGAGUGAUGCUCAUGAAUGUUUAUGUAUGAUUGAUAUGAGGGAUGCUCAUGAAUGUUUAUGUAUGAUUGACAUGAGUAAUGUUCAUGUAUGAUUUGAAGUACUGGGCGUACUUUUGAUCGUCUGGUUGGAGCUAUUUUGGGCUUAUGGGUUUUCGCCCUCUACACAACAUUCCAGCCCAUUUACUUUGGGCUUUGCCGUUUUUUUUUUUUUUUUUUACCCUCUGAUGGGGUUUAUACAUAUUACCCUCUGAUGGGGUGUUUAUUCCUUGCUUUUACUUUCUCUUUUAUUUUCUUUUUUUUCCUGAUGCUUUUCUUGAUCUCCCCGCUCCUUUUCUGUCCACCUUGAUUUGUAAGGUAUCUUUUGCCAAACCCACUUGCUUUGGUCGUGCCCAUCCAUUAUCUCUGUCUCUGUCUUUUCCUUUUUCUAUUUUUGCUUUCUUAGUGACAUGGUGGCUGGAUUGCUUCACUGGUGUGCAAUUGGCGCAUGCCAUCUCCACAAACUUCUUCAGACCCUUUCCUCCUUUUCCUUUUUCUUUUCUACUUUUGCUCCCACUGCAUCUUAUUUUUUAUUUUGCUUUCUCCAGACAUUGCUUUUUCUUUUCUUUCUUUCUUUCUUCUUUUUUCUUUUCUUUCUUUUUUUUCUUUUCUUUUUCUUUCCUUGGCCGACAAUGGGGUGUGGGAUAUUUCCCACCAAACCCGUUCCACUUUCUUGUUAUUCCUUUUGUCUCUUCUUUUGUUGUUGGGUACGAUGGAAGGUGGAGUGGAGCUUCCACUUUUUCUGUUCCUUACUAAUGUUGCUGCACUCCCUCUUUUUCUUGAUGUCCUGCACCUGCACUUGCACCUGCAAAUCAUGUGCAGUGGUACUACCCAGCUCCAUCCUAUUGCAAGCAAAUACAGAUAGCUCCGGUCUUGGCAGCUAUUGAACUCUUUUCGCCCUCUGUUUCUUCUUUGUUCCUUCUCCUUGCACGCAAGGUGUUUGCUGAAACUCCUCGAAGAGGAGGAAAACAGAGGAUAACAAGAAAUUGUACUUCACUAGGAUCAUAACAAAAGAAGCCAAAAUCAUGGACUGGAUCCCUGUAUAUAGGAUACACUGGAAUUUCUUCCCCUGGUUCACAAAAUAUAGCUUCUGCAACUAAAGGUCCAGGCUUGACAACAUGUCGAUUGGUGAGGAUGAUCCCGCGGCGCUUAUCGACGGUGAAGCUGGUGGCAUAGCUAGCACCAGCGGCCUUAGUGUCAAAAGCACGACAGGCGGUUGUCCGUGGAACGAUGACGGCGGGGACUUGACCAGAUCAAUUGGGUAUGUGGUUAAAGCUCCGCGAAAGCUCAAUUGGAUCCGUAAAUGGGAGGCAAACCCAACAGCAACAGCGAUCAAUCAACUGAUUCGGGCGGCAGAUUGGAUGGUUUGAAUUCGGAACCCGAGAUCCGAAUACGCUACUGGCGAGAUCUGGGUUAGAAAAUACGGAAAGAGAUGAGAGAUUUGGAUCUCUGAGCUUGCCAUGUGUUUGAAAACCUCUCGACUGCACCGAAUGCUCUUAAGAUCAUUCCCGCCACGUGGCAGGGAGCCGAAUGUGAUGAGAACUUCGGGCUCCUCUUGGGCCACCCAUUCUUUGGGCUCGCGCUCUUCCAGAUCUGGAGAUGUUGCUGCUGCCUGGUUCGAAACCAUCCUUGGCUCCAUCUCCGAGCCUCGAAACUGCCACUGGGGCACAAUGGAUUGGCGCACCUGCAGAGACAGAAAGCUUGUUUUCUUCUGGAAUUGGGAUUUUGGUGAUGGUUCAGGAAUUUUGGACGGGUUGGAGUCCGUGUGGGUCUUGAAGGCUCUACUAGACAGAGAGAGGAGAGAUUUGAUUCCUUUGGUUUUUUCGGUUUUUGCAGAUUUGCAGAUUCACGGUGGUGAGAUGAAAAAUUGAGAAAGAAUCUGACACAGCUUUUCGUGUCGUUUCCCACAGACGGCGCCAAAAUGUUGAUGCACAAAACCGGAUGGUCUUGGUACAACGUAAAUCCGACCGUGAAUCUGCAAGUAAUGUAAAUAACACAAAGAUGUAUCGUGGUUCACCCCAAGGUUUGGGCUACGUCCACACUGAUUGUAUUAUAUUUCUCUGUUGAAGAGGGAGAGAGAGAGCUUAGAGCUUAGGGGGUGUGAGGAAGCUUUGAGAGGGGGUGAGAGGCUUCAGAAAUGGCCUCUGAGAGUGAGAGUGAGGCAUCCCCCAAUUGUGAGGGUGAGGGGUCCUUUUAUAGAAUAAGGACUCCUCACUUAUUACAUAUUUGCCCCUUCCUUUAUCCCAUAAUUACAUUUAAGUCCCCCGAGUAUUUGUACGAGAUCUAAAUACGAGGCCCUAAAUAUGGUAUAAACAGUAGUCCCCUAAGUCUUCAGUCAAGAGAGUCUUUUGGCUGGAGACUUGAAAUUCAGUCCAUGUGUGGGCCGAAGUAACUAGAUGUCGUCUUGAACUGGUGCUUGAUAUAUGAGGCGGUGCCCAAUCUGAAAUGAUGCUCAACUAGAAGUAGCACCUGUUGCGAGGCCGCUCUGCUUGUGGCUUAUAUUGCCUUGGUUGGCUCGGCUUGUGGUGUUGAAGGUGAGGGAGUCCCUUUUAUAGAAUAAGGGAUCGCUCCUCAAUACAUGAAUGAUGGGCUAGAGUGAUGCUCGCGGCGAGGCGGUUGCUCAGCUGGCGGUGUUACUCUCUAAUGAUGGUGAGGGAGUCCCUUUUAUAAAAUAAGGGCUCGCUCCUCAGUACAUGAACAAUUGGUGCUCUCUAAUGAAAGUGAGGGAGUUCCUUUUAUAGAAUAAGGGCUCGCUCCUCAAUACAUAGAUAAUGGGCUAAGUCCCCCAAGUAUUUUUCAUGAGGCCCAGUUGAGGCCCAAUAUAUGGUACAUA
rnacentral:lncRNA from 1 species